CAGCAACACAAAUGCACAGUAUCUUCUUUGAGAGUGACAUUGGAGUUGAUGGCGCCAGUAACUCUGAAGUAGAGAGGUUGGGGGUGUCAAAGCAGUUUAUUGUCUCGAGGAAACGUUUGACAUGGGAUGCAGACACUUUGCUGCUUGUGCUUCUGGGGAAGGUCUGUUCCUGUGGAAAACCUAG